GAUGAACGCUAGCGGCAGGCUUAACACAUGCAAGUCGAGGGGCAGCGUGAGGGUUAGCAAUAACCCUUGACGGCGACCGGCGCAAGGGUGCGUAACGCGUGAGCAACUUGCCCUUAUCAGGGGGAUAACCGGUGGAAACGCCGACUAAUACCCCAUGGCAUCACAUCAAGGCAUCUUUUUGUGAUUAAAGAAUUCGGAUAAGGAUAGGCUCGCGUGACAUUAGCUAGACGGCGGGGUAACGGCCCACCGUGGCGACGAUGUCUAGGGGUUCUGAGAGGAAGGUCCCCCACACUGGAACUGAGACACGGUCCAGACUCCUACGGGAGGCAGCAGUGAGGAAUAUUGGUCAAUGGUCGGAAGACUGAACCAGCCAAGUAGCGUGAAGGAUGAAGGUUCUAUGGAUUGUAAACUUCUUUUAUACGGGAAUAAAACCUCCCACGUGUGGGAGCUUGUAUGUACCGUAUGAAUAAGCAUCGGCUAAUUCCGUG
rnacentral:rRNA from 1 species